CUAUUAUAAAAAGUAGGAGUUGAGGCACCUAUCUUAACUUGCCAUACUGUGCAAAUAAAGAGUUAAAGGAACAUUCCACCUACCAUAACCACUACAGUAUGCUGUCAUGGUUAUAGUGUAGGAGUUCCCUGGUAUCCCCCCACCCCAAUGUAAGCAGUCAAACAAUUUGCUAAUGUUUGGACAAAUUACCUGGGGCUCACCAGGUGCC